CGUACAGGUCUCCGUAGGUGAACCUGCGGAGGGAUCAUUACACAAAUAUGAAGGCGGGCUGGAACCUCUCGGGGUUACAGCCUUGCUGAAUUAUUCACCCUUGUCUUUUGCGUACUUCUUGUUUCCUUGGUGGGUUCGCCCACCACUAGGACAAACAUAAACCUUUUGUGAUUGCAAUCAGCGUCAGUAACAAAUUAAUAAUUACAACUUUCAACAACGGAUCUCUUGGUUCUGGCAUCGAUGAAGAACGCAGCGAAAUGCGAUAAGUAGUGUGAAUUGCAGAAUUCAGUGAAUCAUCGAAUCUUUGAACGCACAUUGCGCCCUUUGGUAUUCCAAAGGGCAUGCCUGUUCGAGCGUCAUUUGUACCCUCAAGCUUUGCUUGGUGUUGGGCGUCUUGUCUCUAGCUUUGCUGGAGACUCGCCUUAAAGUAAUUGGCAGCCGGCCUACUGGUUUCGGAGCGCAGCACAAGUCGCACUCUCUAUCAGCAAAGGUCUAGCAUCCAUUAAGCCUUCUUUCAACUUUUGACCUCGGAUCAGGUAGGGAUACCCGCUGAACUUAAGCAUAUC
rnacentral:rRNA from 1 species